GCAGUCGAACGCGUUGGCCCAAUUGAUUGAUGGUGCUUGCACCUGAUUGAUUUUGGUCGCCAACGAGUGGCGGACGGGUGAGUAACACGUAGGUAACCUGCCCAGAAGCGGGGGACAACAUUUGGAAACAGAUGCUAAUACCGCAUAACAGCGUUGUUCGCAUGAACAACGCUUAAAAGAUGGCUUCUCGCUAUCACUUCUGGAUGGACCUGCGGUGCAUUAGCUUGUUGGUGGGGUAACGGCCUACCAAGGCGAUGAUGCAUAGCCGAGUUGAGAGACUGAUCGGCCACAAUGGGACUGAGACACGGCCCAUACUCCUACGGGAGGCAGCAGUAGGGAAUCUUCCACAAUGGGCGCAAGCCUGAUGGAGCAACACCGCGUGAGUGAAGAAGGGUUUCGGCUCGUAAAGCUCUGUUGUUAAAGAAGAACACGUAUGAGAGUAACUGUUCAUACGUUGACGGUAUUUAACCAGAAAGUCACGGCUAACUACGUGCCAGCAGCCGCGGUAAUACGUAGGUGGCAAGCGUUAUCCGGAUUUAUUGGGCGUAAAGAGAGUGCAGGCGGUUUUCUAAGUCUGAUGUGAAAGCCUUCGGCUUAACCGGAGAAGUGCAUCGGAAACUGGAUAACUUGAGUGCAGAAGAGGGUAGUGGAACUCCAUGUGUAGCGGUGGAAUGCGUAGAUAUAUGGAAGAACACCAGUGGCGAAGGCGGCUACCUGGUCUGCAACUGACGCUGAGACUCGAAAGCAUGGGUAGCGAACAGGAUUAGAUACCCUGGUAGUCCAUGCCGUAAACGAUGAGUGCUAGGUGUUGGAGGGUUUCCGCCCUUCAGUGCCGGAGCUAACGCAUUAAGCACUCCGCCUGGGGAGUACGACCGCAAGGUUGAAACUCAAAGGAAUUGACGGGGGCCCGCACAAGCGGUGGAGCAUGUGGUUUAAUUCGAAGCUACGCGAAGAACCUUACCAGGUCUUGACAUCUUGCGCCAACCCUAGAGAUAGGGCGUUUCCUUCGGGAACGCAAUGACAGGUGGUGCAUGGUCGUCGUCAGCUCGUGUCGUGAGAUGUUGGGUUAAGUCCCGCAACGAGCGCAACCCUUGUUACUAGUUGCCAGCAUUAAGUUGGGCACUCUAGUGAGACUGCCGGUGACAAACCGGAGGAAGGUGGGGACGACGUCAGAUCAUCAUGCCCCUUAUGACCUGGGCUACACACGUGCUACAAUGGACGGUACAACGAGUCGCGAACUCGCGAGGGCAAGCAAAUCUCUUAAAACCGUUCUCAGUUCGGACUGCAGGCUGCAACUCGCCUGCACGAAGUCGGAAUCGCUAGUAAUCGCGGAUCAGCAUGCCGCGGUGAAUACGUUCCCGGGCCUUGUACACACCGCCCGUCACACCAUGAGAGUUUGUAACACCCAAAGUCGGUGGGGUAACCUUUAGGAGCCAGCCGCCUA
rnacentral:rRNA from 1 species